rnacentral:lncRNA from 1 species
CUAGAUCGGAUAGGGGUGAUAUGUAUGCUAAGAAUCGACGGCAGGGUUGUUGGUUUGACGACAAAGGCAGUAAGAACGGUCGCUAGUAAAGCAAGGUUUUCGUUCAAGUGGUAGCAGACUAACAAUGGAGCUAUCCGGAAUGAAAACAAGUAAGUGCAGAUUGAUAGCCAGGGUAGUUAGACUUAAGAGAAGCAGUGCUUGAAUUGUGAAUUACCCGCGCGCUUAUGAGAAAACUUCUAUUCCCGCUUCUGAAGCACUAACUUACUUAUAUAAUAGAACAGAUGAAACUAGGGAUGAAACUAGAACAGUACAGUACUGGCACACGAAACCAGACUUGAGAACCAGAACAGUACAACUUUCUUCUUACCCGAAACUGAUUAGAGAGGCCCCUUUGUGACUUCAAUGGUUGUAGUUUCUUCUUAGUUGCGAAGGAAGUAUUUCUUAUAAGUGCAGCUGCAAGUGAUGAUGUUCGAGUGGAAUCCCCAACAAGUAAGUCAACAACGCUACCCC